UCUUCAUUUCAUGCACUCUCUCAGCGGUCAGAGAUGCGAGAGAGCACGCGAAAUGAGGAGA
rnacentral:pre_miRNA from 1 species